rfam:Otolemur garnettii contig016745, whole genome shotgun sequence.
AAGGAAGGAGAGGCAGUUUCUACAGGUGUCUUAGAAAAAUCAAUACUAAGCCACGGAUUAUUGGAUGCCACAGAACCAUGGAGACUUGGCAGUGAAAUUCUUCCAAAGG